UACGGGGGGGGCAAGCGUUGUUCGGAAUUACUGGGCGUAAAGGGCUCGUAGGCGGCCAACUAAGUCAGACGUGAAAUCCCUCGGCUUAACCGGGGAACUGCGUCUGAUACUGGAUGGCUUGAGGUUGGGAGAGGGAUGCGGAAUUCCAGGUGUAGCGGUGAAAUGCGUAGAUAUCUGGAGGAACACCGGUGGCGAAGGCGGCGUCCUGGACCAACACUGACACUGAGGAGCGAAAGCCAGGGGAGCAAACGGG
rnacentral:rRNA from 1 species